GAUGAACGCUGGCGGCGUGCUUAACACAUGCGAGUCGAACGAUGAAGCUGGAGCUUGCUCUGGUGGAUUAGUGGCGAACGGGUGAGUAACACGUGAGCAACCUGCCCCUGACUCUGGGAUAACAGCCGGAAACGGCUGCUAAUACCGGAUAUGCACCAUGAACGCAUGUUCUGUGGUGGGAAAGAUUUUUCGGUUGGGGAUGGGCUCGCGGCCUAUCAGCUUGUUGGUGAGGUAAUGGCUCACCAAGGCGUCGACGGGUAGCCGGCCUGAGAGGGUGACCGGCCACACUGGGACUGAGACACGGCCCAGACUCCUACGGGAGGCAGCAGUGGGGAAUAUUGCACAAUGGGCGAAAGCCUGAUGCAGCAACGCCGCGUGAGGGAUGACGGCCUUCGGGUUGUAAACCUCUUUUAGCAGGGAAGAAGCGAGAGUGACGGUACCUGCAGAAAAAGCGCCGGCUAACUACGUG
rnacentral:rRNA from 1 species